GCGAUGGCUGUUUGUGGAUAUAGGGGUGCUUGGCACACAGCCAUAUAUACGUAAUCGUGAAUAUACGACAUAUCAAAAGUCACCUAGAGGCGGAAGAAAAACGUACAUACACAUUGUUUCGCAGUGUUGUUGUAUUGCAGCCAAAGCUAACAUGGAAACAUGUGCACACACAGCAUAUGGUUUGUUCAUAUUAAAACAUCAUCAGAUGGCUGCAGGUCUCCACUCUCCACUCAUUCAUUGGCCAUUAGCUGAAAUUAUAUUUGUUUCAUCUGAUUAGUGGCACCCAACAUGGGCAUUAAAAAUAAUAUAUACUCGCAGCUCAAUUCGACCAGUAAAAACUAUUUGAGUGACUCUUUUAUGGGAUAUUUAUUAAGUCAGCGUGCAAAACACUUGUCUAAUUAAAAUUUAAAAGUAAACGAAAAGCAAAUAAUAAGAAAACCUAAAAU